rnacentral:rRNA from 1 species
UACGUAGGGUGCGAGCGUUAAUCGGAAUUACUGGGCGUAAAGCGUGCGCAGGCGGUUUUGUAAGCCAGAUGUGAAAUCCCCGGGCUUAACCUGGGAAUGGCAUUUGGGACUGCAAGGCUGGAGUUUGGCAGAGGAGACUGGAAUUCCCGGUGUAGCAGUGAAAUGCGUAGAUAUCGGGAGGAAUACCGAUGGCGAAGGCAGGUCUCUGGGCUAUAACUGACGCUCAUGCACGAAAGCGUGGGGAGCAAACAUG